UACGGGGGGGGCAAGCGUUGUUCGGAAUUACUGGGCGUAAAGGGCUCGUAGGUGGCCAACUAAGUCGGACGUGAAAUCCCUCAGCUUAACUGGGGAACUGCGUCUGAUACUGGAUGGCUUGGAUUCGGGAGAGGGAUGCGGAAUUCCAGGUGUAGCGGUGAAAUGCGUAGAUAUCUGGAGGAACACCGGUGGCGAAGGCGGCAUCCUGGACCGAUAUUGACGCUGAGGAGCGAAAGCCAGGGGAGCAAACGGG
rnacentral:rRNA from 1 species